rnacentral:rRNA from 2 species
AGACCCGAAACCCGGUGAUCUAGCCAUGGGCAGGUUGAAGGUUGGGUAACACUAACUGGAGGACCGAACCGACUAAUGUUGAAAAAUUAGCGGAUGACCUGUGGCUGGGGGUGAAAGGCCAAUCAAACCGGGAGAUAGCUGGUUCUCCCCGAAAGCUAUUUAGGUAGCGCCUCGUGAAUUCAUCUCCGGGGGUAGAGCACUGUUUCGGCUAGGGGGCCAUCCCGGCUUACCAACCCGAUGCAAACUGCGAAUACCGGAGAAUGUUAUCACGGGAGACACACGGCGGGUGCUAACGUCCGUCGUGAAGAGGGAAACAACCCAGACCGCCAGCUAAGGUCCCAAAGUCAUGGUUAAGUGGGAAACGAUGUGGGAAGGCCCAGACAGCCAGGAUGUUGGCUUAGAAGCAGCCAUCAUUUAAAGAAAGCGUAAUAGCUCACUGGUCGAGUCGGCCUGCGCGGAAGAUGUAACGGGGCUAAACCAUGCACCGAAGCUGCGGCAGCGACACUCAGGUGUUGUUGGGUAGGGGAGCGUUCUGUAAGCCUGCGAAGGUGGCCUGUGAGGGUUGCUGGAGGUAUCAGAAGUGCGAAUGCUGACAUAAGUAA